UGAGGCCCAAUGUUUCCUAAACUGAGCGAACAGAUUUUUACAGUUAUUUUGUCUCCUGCCAGGCUCAGAUGAAGUCUCUCUCUAAUGUUGCAGCUAAAAUAAUGUUGUUUUUUUUUUUGUUGCAGAGGUUUUCUGAUGUCCAAUCUGCUGCCUCACUCAUUUGUGGAUAAAUAAACUGACGAUCUCUUAGUCAUCUAAAGCAGGGAUGGGCAACUGGCAGUCCAUGGGUGACUUCCAUCUAAUGACCCUGAAGCCACAAGUACAUAAACAGAGACUUUUUACCAGAACCACGCAGGAGUCUGCACUCAAGGAGUCUUAUGUUGCUGCACUUGAGCUCGUUAAAGUGUUUAUUUUUCAUUUUUUWAAAUGUUUUGUAUUCAUAUUUAAUAAAGAAGAGUACAACUGUUAUAUGUGCAUUUGAGAAUGAAAUAUGUUAAGCUACUGUAUGCUGGUUUAAUAAACAUAAAUAUACACACAA